GAUGAACGCUGGCGGCGUGCCUAAUACAUGCAAGUCGAGCGAACAGACGAGGAGCUUGCUCCUCUGACGUUAGCGGCGGACGGGUGAGUAACACGUGGAUAACCUACCUAUAAGACUGGGAUAACUUCGGGAAACCGGAGCUAAUACCGGAUAAUAUAUUGAACCGCAUGGUUCAAUAGUGAAAGACGGUUUUGCUGUCACUUAUAGAUGGAUCCGCGCCGCAUUAGCUAGUUGGUAAGGUAACGGCUUACCAAGGCAACGAUGCGUAGCCGACCUGAGAGGAUGACCGGCCACACUGGAACUGAGACACGGUCCAGACUCCUACGGGAGGCAGCAGUAGGGAAUCUUCCGCAAUGGGCGAAAGCCUGACGGAGCAACGCCGCGUGAGUGAUGAAGGUCUUCGGAUCGUAAAACUCUGUUAUUAGGGAAGAAAAACUGUGUAAGUAACUAUGCACGUCUUGACGGUACCUAAUCAGAAAGCAACGGCUAACUACGUG
rnacentral:rRNA from 1 species